AGGGGAAUAAGUCCCAAGCCAACAUAAUGAGUCAUCACUUGAUGGAAACCUAACCUAGCAACAUUGGAGAUCCCAUGGUCUAGAUUCAAUAGGCAAACUAGUUGAGGAAGACUAAAGACGUUUUACACAUUUCUCAUUCUUAUGAAAUAAUAAUGUGUAUCCAUUAAUGAUUAAGGGUUGAAUAAUUUACUCUUAAUAAUGUUAAUAUCUUUUGUAGAAGAGAGAUAGAAUGGAUUAUCUUUAACUAAUGUUACCUAUAUGGGAGUGGUAACGGGUCGCACCUAUGAGAAUUGAUAUGGCUAAAUUCUCUAGAGCUCUCACGAAGUCAGGAUAUGUUCAUGAACAAAAUGAACACAACCAUAUAAACUAGAAAUGAGCUGAUGAGAUAUGUGUUUCACUUAUUGUCUAGGUUUACUAUAAAAUGUGGUUAAUUAAAGACUAUAGUUCAUUACCCACAAAGUAAAUCCGAUAAGUUGUUACUUGGGAAGGUUCAAGUCCAAAAGACAUCUUUUCCUAUGCAUAUUGAUUCUACUUUAUCAGAUAUAUUUGAACUUAUUUUCUAUUCAAAUGUGGAGUAUUUUGAGU
rnacentral:lncRNA from 1 species